rnacentral:rRNA from 1 species
GAUGAACGCUGGCGGGAGGCUUAACACAUGCAAGUCGAGGGGUAUAGUAGCAAUACUAGAGACCGGCGCACGGGUGAGUAACGCGUAUGCAACCUGCCCUUUACAGGGGGAUAGCCCGGAGAAAUCCGGAUUAAUACCCCAUAGUACUAUUUUGUCGCAUGGCAAGAUGGUUAAAGUACCAACGGUAAAGGAUGGGCAUGCGUGACAUUAGUUUGUUGGCGGGGUAACGGCCCACCAAGACUACGAUGUCUAGGAGUUCUGAGAGGAUGAUCCCCCACACUGGUACUGAGACACGGACCAGACUCCUACGGGAGGCAGCAGUGAGGAGUAUUGGUCAAUGGGCGCAAGCCUGAACCAGCCAUCCCGCGUGAAGGAUGAAUGCCCUAUGGGUUGUAAACUUCUUUUAUGUACCAAGAAUAUGCCUUACGUGUAGGGUAUUGACGGUAGUGCAUGAAUAAGCAUCGGCUAACUCCGUGCCAGCCGCCGCCGUAAUAC